AUUGAACGCUGGCGGCAGGCCUAACACAUGCAAGUCGAGCGAGCGGCGGACGGGUGAGUAAUGUCUGGGGACUGCCCGAUAGAGGGGGAGAACUACUGGAAACGGUAGCUAAUACCGCAUACUAUCGGAUAACCCAUAUGGGAUUAGCUAGUAGGGGAGGUAAUGGCUCACAUAGGCGACGAUCCCUAGCUGGUCUGAGAGGAUGAUCAGCCACACUGGGACGGAGACACGGCCCAGAAUCCUACGGAGGCAGAAGUGGGGAAUAUUCCAGAAUGGGCGCAGUCCUGAGGCAGACAUGCCGGGUGUAUGAAGAGGGCCCUAGGGUUGUAAAGUACUUUCAGUCGGGAGGCGGUUCCGACAGAGGAAGCACCGGCUAACUCCGUGCCAGCAGCCGCGGUAAUAC
rnacentral:rRNA from 1 species